UGGGGAAUAUUGCACAAUGGGGGAAACCCUGAUGCAGCGACGCCGCGUGAACGAAGAAGGUAUUCGUAUCGUAAAGUUCUGUCCUAUGGGAAGAUAAUGACAGUACCAUAGAAGAAAGCUCCGGCUAAAUACGUGCCAGCAGCCGCGGUAAUACGUAUGGAGCGAGCGUUGUCCGGAAUUAUUGGGCGUAAAGGGUACGCAGGCGGUUUAAUAAGUCGAAUGUUAAAGAUCGGGGCUCAACCCCGUAAAGCAUUGGAAACUGAUAAACUUGAGUAGUGGAGAGGAAAGUGGAAUUCCUAGUGUAGUGGUGAAAUACGUAGAUAUUAGGAGGAAUACCAGUAGCGAAGGCGACUUUCUGGACACAAACUGACACUGAGGUACGAAAGCGUGGGGAGCAAACAGG
rnacentral:rRNA from 1 species